GGGCGGUUAGCUCAGUUGGUUAGAGUACUUGCUUGACAUGCAAGGGGUCACCGGUUCAAAUCCAGUACCGCCCA
rnacentral:tRNA from 2 species